rnacentral:rRNA from 1 species
GUGCCAGCAGCCGCGGUAAUACAUGGGGUGCAAGCGUUGUCCGGAUUUAUUGGGCGUAAAGGGCUCGUAGGUGGAUUAGUAAGUCAAAAUUGAAAUCCAAUGGCUUAACCAUUGUCACGGUUUUGAUACUGUUAAUCUUGAGUUAGAUAGAGGUAAGUGGAAUUCCUGGUGUAGCGGUGAGAUGCGUAGAUAUCAGGAGGAACGCCAAAGGAGAAGUCAGCUUACUGGAUCUAUACUGACACUGAGGAGCGAAAGCGUGGGUAGCAAACAGGAUUAGAGACCCUGGUAGUCCACGCCGUAAACGAUGAGUACUAGAUGGUGGGUGAUUCGACCCUCUCACUGUUACAGCUAACGCAUUAAGUACUCCGCCUGGGAAGUACGUUUGCAAGAAUGAAACUCAAAGAAAUUGGCGG